AAGCACUUUAUUUUUUCUGAAAGCAUGUGAUUAGAAUGUAGGUAAAGUGAUGUGAUAAAAACAGUGGAAAGUUCACCAUGUCCUGGCUUUCAGCUGUCACUGGAAAAGCUGAGGAUUUUUUGAAUAAACUUGAUCGAUCAGCUGCUGAUGUGCUACAUGCGGAUGAGACCAAACCAAAGGAGAAGCCAAAACCUCCUCCUGAGCCAACGCUUAUUGAAUCCACAGCUGAUACUGCUAAUGUAACAUCUUUAUCACCUUCACUCAGUGUACCAGCUCGCUUGUACAGCUUAAAAAAUGAAGCUGAUCGCACAGAAAUAACAGGAAAAGGCACAAACUUUCCACCCAAUCCUUUAGCAUCUGUACAAUCUUCUGGCAAAACAGUAAAAAAGAAAAAUUCUGAUGAGGCGUUGUUUGACUUUUUAAACAGUAAAGAAUCAGAAGCAGGGAAAAAACGUACACCUACAAGCAGCCACCACCAUUCCCGCCAGUCAAGUACUUCUUCCAUUAUUUCAUCCACUUCAAAAGGGGCCAAGUUUGAAACUAUUAUUUCAGAUACCCCAACAACAUCAGCUGCCAAUGUAAAAAUACCAGUCAACACAGAGGAUGAUGGGCCUCAACAAGGAAGUCCAGCCAACUCACACAUAUCUGCAGACUUGGAUGCAAUAGCUGAUGCCAUGAAGGAGAGCCCUGUAGGCAGUGAUCAAAGUGCUCCUGACAGCGAUCAUGCUGACCUAGGACAGGCGCAGAAAGACAGACAGUUAUCUUCCUUGGAGUUGGAAAACAGACUGCUGCGUAAUGAAGUGGCCUCACUUAAUGAUGAGAUGGCUAACGUUAUCACAAGAGCUAAAGAUGCUGAAACAGAACUUAUAAGAGCUAAAGAAAAACUAAAAACUUAUGUAAACUCUGCAACUAUGCAUGAUCAAUUGCUACGAGAACUCCAGUCUCGUGAGCUUGAUCUAACAGAAGCAUUAAAAGCUAAAGAUGCACAGCUUGCUGUACUACGUGUGAGGCUUGAUGAAGCAGAUAAAAGAAUUAUAAGUAAAGAAAAAACUUUGGAAGAAGUUAAGCAUGAGCGGGAAAGAAUUUUAAAAGACCAUACAGAUUCAACAGGCGUCCAUGGCCAAGCAUUGAAUUCUGUGAAGGAUAAACUAGAAGAAGUUGAGGCAUCUUUACGCAGAGAACAAGCUGCAUAUAAGCAAGCUCAGCAAGAGGCAGCACAAAGACAAAGCAGAAUGGAGCUGGAACAAAAAUCAAUGGCAGAUGCCUUAACAGCUGCUGAAAAAAAAGUUGUGGAAGAAAAAGCAAAAAUGACGGAACUUGCUGGUCAAUUGAAGGCUGCAAAAGUUGCAGCUGAAGCAGCGAGGAAGGAACUCACAGAGUACAAAGAUAAAGCCUCUAGAAUAUUGCAGUCAAAAGAAAAGUUGAUAGCCAGCUUGAGGGACGGUUCCAGCAGCCCAUUAGGUGAUGGUGGAGGGGUGUCAACUUUGGAAUAUGAGUCAUUAAGACAAGAGAGAGAUAUGUUAAGAGAAGAACUCCAACAAACUAAACUGACUAUUGACAAUUUAAGAUCUGAAUUACAGGAUGCAGAGAAUCAACUUCAGAUGGACAGCUAUACAGCAGAGGAAACCAUUCGAUCACUUGAAGAUUCUGUUAGAGAAGAAAAAAGAAGAAGAGAAGAUGCAGAGCAGGAGUUGUUGAAACAGAAACAGGAACUUCAAUACACUAUGGAGGAACUGCAUAAACAAAAGGCAACAUUUCAGUCACGCAUCAGUGAUAGAGAAACAGAGAUAGAAAAAUUAAGGAGUCAGCUGAUGACUAAAAGUAUGAGCAGCAGUACAGAAAAUGAACUUGAGUCUCGGUUGCGUUCUCUGACUGAGAGCCUUAUACAAAAACAGACAGUCUUAGAAGCGUUGAGUACAGAAAAAAACUCCCUGGUGUUACAGUUAGAGAGAAUGGAGCAUCAAUACAGAGAGUUGGAAAAUGCAAUGCCACGUGUAGCAACCAGCUCCCAGCUAGUGGCAACAAAUGACCAUGAUGAUGAUGUGAGACAGAGACUGCCAUUAUUUUUACGCGAGGUACCCACAGAUCACGAAGUCACAAGAAGAAUGAAGCGUGCUGCAAAUUCAAUCGAUGGUGUAAGCAUCCGUUUAGGCGUCUUUCUUCGUAGAUAUCCCAUGGCUAGAGUAUUUGUUGUUGUUUAUAUGGCUUUACUUCACUUUUGGGUGUUGGUGGUUAUGAUGACUUACAAACCUGAGAUUCACGAAUUGGAUUACCACCCCAAAGAACCUGUUCCUUAAAUUAAAAAAAGUUUGGGUAUAAUCAUUAAGAACAGAAAAGUUAACAUUUUUGGGAAAAUAAAUUAUAUUAUCUAAGUGAACAAAGUCUUCAUAGUUUCAAAACACUUGUAUAAUGUAAAAUGAAAUUUUGAAAUGUUACAUUAGUUCCUUCUUCAGGUUUACUUUUCAUUUGUUGAGAAAAUAAAAUGAAUAUAUAUUCCUACUUAGCAUUAAAUUUUAAGUAACUCAUAUUUUCCAUUUUAUUUUAUUGUACAUUUUGGAUCUAUAUGGGAUUUCAAGUUCAAUGUUUGUUUUGUUUCAUUUAACUUGAAUUUAGAAUUCAAGCAUUUUGGGGAAAUAUACUUUAGCUGUACAAUAGCUAUUUUUUUAAACAAACAAAAAUCUUUGAUCAAUAAAUAAUACAUUUUUUGGAAAGUGAAAGAGCAUAAAUUAAAAAACAAAAGCACUGGCUUAUUUCUUUAAAAUAAUACCGUUGCUAAAUGAGUGCUAACUUCACACCAUAAGUGGAAAAAAGACCAGUGACUACACUAGUACAAGGUCCACUAUUAUUUAACCAAUCUCAGUUAAAUAUGCUGCACAUAUUUCCCAUUUAAUAAUAAAAUUUUCAUUGUGAUGUAUCAUUUUUAAAAAGGUUUUAUUUAUUUUUUGUACAAAACUUGUUUUUUAAGAAUGAAAGGAAGAGUAAAAUUGUAUUAUUGAUUGUAAAACAUGUUUGAAAGAUAACUCAGUUAUCUUACACAUUGCUUGAAAUUGUUAUUUCAUAGCUCUAUUAUAAAUAAAAACCUGAUGUGUGCUAGUUGAGAUAAUAAAAAUGUCUUAUCAUAUGUGAUCUUGCCUUUAUAUUACAAUAAAUUAUACAGUGGGAUAUUUUCAUUGUUUCA